rnacentral:rRNA from 1 species
GAUGAACGCUAGCUACAGGCUUAACACAUGCAAGUCGAGGGGCAGCAUUUCUGUUUGCUUGCAAACUGGAGAUGGCGACCGGCGCACGGGUGAGUAACACGUAUCCAACCAGCCGAUAACUUGGGGAUAGCCUUUCGAAAGAAAGAUUAAUACCCGAUGGUAUAAUCAGACCGCAUGGUCUUGUUAUUAAAGAAUUUCGGUUAUCGAUGGGGAUGCGUUCCAUUAGGCAGUUGGUGAGGUAACGGCUCACCAAACCUUCGAUGGAUAGGGGUUCUGAGAGGAAGGUCCCCCACAUUGGAACUGAGACACGGUCCAAACUCCUACGGGAGGCAGCAGUGAGGAAUAUUGGUCAAUGGGCGCAGGCCUGAACCAGCCAAGUAGCGUGAAGGAUGACUGCCCUAUGGGUUGUAAACUUCUUUUAUAUGGGAAUAAAGUUUUCCACGUGUGGAAUUUUGUAUGUACCAUAUGAAUAAGGAUCGGCUAACUCCGUGCCAGCAGCCGCGGUAAUACGGAGGAUCCGAGCGUUAUCCGGAUUUAUUGGGUUUAAAGGGAGCGUAGGUGGACAGUUAAGUCAGUUGUGAAAGUUUGCGGCUCAACCGUAAAAUUGCAGUUGAUACUGGCUGUCUUGAGUACAGUAGAGGUGGGCGGAAUUCGUGGUGUAGCGGUGAAAUGCUUAGAUAUCACGAAGAACUCCGAUUGCGAAGGCAGCUCACUGGACUGCAACUGACACUGAUGCUCGAAAGUGUGGGUAUCAAACAGGAUUAGAUACCCUGGUAGUCCACACAGUAAACGAUGAAUACUCGCUGUUUGCGAUAUACAGUAAGCGGCCAAGCGAAAGCAUUAAGUAUUCCACCUGGGGAGUACGCCGGCAACGGUGAAACUCAAAGGAAUUGACGGGGGCCCGCACAAGCGGAGGAACAUGUGGUUUAAUUCGAUGAUACGCGAGGAACCUUACCCGGGCUUAAAUUGCAUUUGAAUAUAUUGGAAACAGUAUAGCCGUAAGGCAAAUGUGAAGGUGCUGCAUGGUUGUCGUCAGCUCGUGCCGUGAGGUGUCGGCUUAAGUGCCAUAACGAGCGCAACCCUUAUCUUUAGUUACUAACAGGUCAUGCUGAGGACUCUAGAGAGACUGCCGUCGUAAGAUGUGAGGAAGGUGGGGAUGACGUCAAAUCAGCACGGCCCUUACGUCCGGGGCUACACACGUGUUACAAUGGGGGGUACAGAAGGCAGCUACCUGGUGACAGGAUGCUAAUCCCAAAAGCCUCUCUCAGUUCGGAUCGAAGUCUGCAACCCGACUUCGUGAAGCUGGAUUCGCUAGUAAUCGCGCAUCAGCCAUGGCGCGGUGAAUACGUUCCCGGGCCUUGUACACACCGCCCGUCAAGCCAUGAAAGCCGGGGGUACCUGAAGUACGUAACCGCAAGGAGCGUCCUAGGGUAAAACUGGUAAUUGGGGCUAAG